rnacentral:lncRNA from 1 species
UGGAUAUUAUAUCCCCAUUUACAAAUGAGGAAACCAAGAGUCAGGGAGUUUAAUUUACUUGCCUCGAUGUGGCAGAGCCAGGAUUCAGACCUACGUCAGCCCAAGUCCAAAGCCUGUGCUUAACCAUGAGGUCAGACUGCCUCCUCCCUCCCGUCCAGGGGCCAGCAGGAACACGAAGUUCAAAGGAGCAUCGCUAGGGUCAACUCACGCUGGGCAUUUACUGAGAUCCUUUGAGGCCAAGCAUUCCCUAAUCAGUACCCAGCACCAGCAGAGAGAGAACCCAGUCUCCAACUAUAGGCGCCGUGCAUCUGCCCUCUCCACGGCUCGUGACUCCCCCAGCAGCCUUUGGUGCAGACUCUCCCUCCUUGCGGCCUCCGGGAUGGGCGGAGGUGCUGUGAGCAGGGAGGAAGUGAACGAUCCUGUCUGGAAACCUAAGUCUUACCUGAGGGAUAAAAAUGAAUAACAAAGAAGUGGAAAAGAAAGACAAAGACACAACUGUCCUUCACAACCAGGGCCUCUCCGCUCCAGACAACACAGGGAUGGUUUCUGAGUCUUCUCCAGGGAGGCGUUGAGAGAAAGACGGAAUUUCAGUGUUCACUUGCCAUACAACAGGUGCUCACUAAAUGUGGCUUUCAGUGGGAUGGCAUUGAGUGGAGUGACCAUUAUCCUAGAAGCUUGAAAGAACGGGAAUAAAGCAGGAGCCCGUUCUCUCUGUCCCCCCACACACUUCCCUCGCCUGACAAUUCUCUACCACAGCUACAGGAGUUGAACGAAAUUUAUGUGUGUGACGGUGCUGGCUGGCGAGGGGUCUUGCUCACCGACAAGGCAAGAAUAAACAUACAACUAGGAAAGUACUGACCUCAAGGGGCUAUGGUGUAUCCAGAUGUGAG